rnacentral:ncRNA from 1 species
UCCAAUGAGGAUUUGAUCCUGGUCCAGGACGAACGCUGGCGGCGUGGAUAAGGCAUGCAAGUCGCACGGAUCUAUUUUUGAAGAUGUUGCGAUUACAUCAAGACGACGGAUGAAAUAGGUUAGUGGCGAACGAGUUAGUAACACCUUGGAACAUACCCCCGAGAUGAGGAUAACCAGCCGAAAGGUUGGCUAAUACUCAAUGGCCUGACAGCAAAUUUCUGUUUGAAAUUUGCUUAGAAAUUCUAAAUUCGAAAUCCUAAAUCCUAAACAAAUUCGAAAUACCAAAUGUUUAGAAUUUAGCGCUUCGGGUUUAGUAUUUCCGAGCGGAUUGCGAUUGGGAAUUUGCUGUCAGUAAAUGGAGCAAUCCGCUCGGGGAGUGGCCUAGGUCCUAUCAGCUAGUUGGUGAGGUAAUGGCUCACCAAGGCGAUGACGGGUAGGGAGUGUGAGAGCAUGAUUCCCAACGAUGGAACUGAGACACGGUCCAUACACCUACGGGUGGCUGCAGUCGAGAAUAUUCCACAAUGGGCGAAAGCCUGAUGGAGCGACGCCGCGUGCAGGAAGAAGGCCUUCGGGUUGUAAACUGCUUUUAACUGGGAGGAAGUCCCGCCCUUUUGGUGUGGAAAAAAUUUCUUUGCCAAAAGGGCGGGAUUGACGGUACCCGUUGAAUAAGACGCUGCAAACUUCGUGCCAGCAGCCGCGGUAAUACGAAGGCGUCAAGCGUUGUCCGGAUUUAUUGGGCGUAAAGGGUCUCCAGUCGGUUCGGUUAGUCGGGCGUUAAAUUCCACCGCCCAACGGUGGAGCCGCGUUCGAAACGGCCGAACUCGAGGUAUAAAGAGGCAAACGGAACGGUAGGUGUAGGGGUGAAAUCCGUUGAUAUCUACCGGAACACCAGAGGCGAAGGCGGUUUGCUGGUUAUAUCCUGACGAUCAUGAGACGAAAGCGUGGGGAGAGAAUGGGAUUGACUGCUUGCAUCGCUGCAAAAAUUUUCAGCGUUGCUGUGGACACUUUCACCGCGGGUGCUACGCAACACGAUUAAGAAAUAUUUUGACUCGACCACGGCCUUUCGGCCGUGGGACUCGGACAAAAAAUAUUUCUUGUGUUGUGCGGCACCCUUGGUUCAGUGUUUCUCACAGCACCGCAAUGAAAAUUUUUACAGGAUACUCGCUUUGAGGUUACUGAAGGUAGUUUCCUUCGGAAGCAUCUAGAGCGGACCGUAGGGGUACGGUGAGCCACUGGUCCCUCCGGCAAGAGUGCCGGAGAAAAACUCCGCUGUAUCGGGGAACAUCCGGUCUGUUGGUUCUUGGUAAUUUGGUAAUAUAGAAAGUCAAGAACUCAACGAAGAGCUGGACAAUCCCGAGGCAACCUGCGAAAGCAGAGAGUCCGUAGAGACUAUACGCGGAGAUCCGAGUAAUAUCGGAUGUGAGAUAGUCCGAACUGCAUGGCGACAUGCAGAGCACGGUAGAAAUACCCGUGCCAGUAGCAAAAUUCGAAAUUCAUAAUUCAAAAUUCUGAAUUCCAAUUUUGUUGCGCGCAACAACAUUGUAGAUACCCCAGUAUUCCACGCCCUAAACGAUGCGCACUCGCUGUGGGAAGUAUCGACCCUUUCCGUGGCUUAGCUAACGCGUUAAGUGCGCCGCCUGGGAAGUACGGCCGCAAGGCUAAAACUCAAAGGAAUAGACGGGA